rnacentral:tRNA from 1 species
GCGGGAGUUGCCAAGCCAGGUCAAAGGCGCAGGAUUGAGGUUCCUGUCCCGUAGGGGUUCGUGGGUUCGAAUCCCACCUCCCGCACCA